UGGGGAAUAUUGGACAAUGGGCGCAAGCCUGAUCCAGCAAUGCCGCGUGGGUGAAGAAGGUCUUCGGAUUGUAAAGCCCUUUCGGCGGGGACGAUGAUGACGGUACCCGCAGAAGAAGCCCCGGCUAACUUCGUGCCAGCAGCCGCGGUAAUACGAAGGGGGCUAGCGUUGCUCGGAAUGACUGGGCGUAAAGGGCGCGUAGGCGGUUUGGACAGUCAGGCGUGAAAUUCCUGGGCUCAACCUGGGGGCUGCGCUUGAUACGUUUGGACUAGAGUGGGGAAGAGGGUCGUGGAAUUCCCAGUGUAGAGGUGAAAUUCGUAGAUAUUGGGAAGAACACCGGUGGCGAAGGCGGCGACCUGGUCCUUGACUGACGCUGAGGCGCGAAAGCGUGGGGAGCAAACAGGAUUAGAUACCCCUGUAGUCC
rnacentral:rRNA from 1 species